rnacentral:rRNA from 1 species
CCUACGGGAGGCAGCAGUGGGGAAUCUUGCGCAAUGGGCGAAAGCCUGACGCAGCCAUGCCGCGUGAAUGAUGAAGGUCUUAGGAUUGUAAAAUUCUUUCACCGGGGACGAUAAUGACGGUACCCGGAGAAGAAGCCCCGGCUAACUUCGUGCCAGCAGCCGCGGUAAUACGAAGGGGGCUAGCGUUGCUCGGAAUUACUGGGCGUAAAGGGAGCGUAGGCGGAUAAUUUAGUCAGAGGUGAAAGCCCAGGGCUCAACCUUGGAAUUGCCUUUGAUACUGGCUAUCUUGAGUGUGGGAGAGGUAUGUGGAACUCCGAGUGUAGAGGUGAAAUUCGUAGAUAUUCGGAAGAACACCAGUGGCGAAGGCGACAUACUGGCCCAUUACUGACGCUGAGGCUCGAAAGCGUGGGGAGCAAACAGGAUUAGAUACCCUGGUAGUCCACGCUGUAAACGAUGAGUGCUAGUUGUCGGCAGGCAUGCCUGUCGGUGACGCAGCUAACGCAUUAAGCACUCCGCCUGGGGAGUACGGUCGCAAGAUUAAAACUUAAAUGAAUUGACGG